CCCACAGCUACGCCAUCACCGUUUGGUACUUUGAUGCAAAAGAGCGGGCUGAGGCUAAGGAGAAGUACAGACUGGCUAUAGGACAGAAAGGAGUUAAAGUGUCCGUCACACAGAGCAGCAAAACCUGAAUCUCAGUCAUUUGAGUGAACACUCAAGUGUGUCCUGUUUAUGUGUGUGACAGCCCGUGCCGCUGUGCCGUUUUCAAGAGGAGGUGCAAAAGUUCUGUGGCCUCAAACAUCCAACAAAACAUAUGAUUUGAUUGGGACUGUCCUUAAAUGAACACCAUAAACCGAUAUUUCUCAACUUGAUGGUCAUGACUCUGAACGGCUAGCAGGAUUGGCCAAUUUUCCUCAUCCCGUGGAAAGUC